GCUCCCCGCAGCACCAACUCUUACCUGUGAUUUCCAUGUUGAUCAGUUUGUUCUUUGGCGUAUUUCUCAGGAAGGGGACUUCACUGAGUCUCAGGCACGAGGGACAGCUCAGCCAGGUCCAUGCCAGCCUUUCGUUCAGACCACUGGGUGUCACAUCAUCACCUGUAGAUGGUGUUGUGGAGGAGACCUCUGGGCCAUGUUGAGUUUUGUUUUGUGGCAGGAAAUGUGUUUUUCUUUAAUGUUUCAGGCUUCUGCCCCACCCUUAUUUUUAUAAUAAAAAUAAUGUUCAGCUUCAUUGAUGUGGUCCUUUUUAGAGUUUUGUCUAGAACAGGAUGGCCCUGUAGGAGCGCUUAUUCAGUUCUUUAGUCUUAUUUUUAGUUUCUCUUUCUCCACUUUAAUUUUACUAUUUAAAAAUAAUUUUUGCUAGCCUUCCAUUACAGUUUUCAUUCUUGUCUUGUAGCCACCAUGAUUGCAUGAUCAUGUGGGUUUUCGUAGCAUGACCAUAUGUCUGAGGCUUUGUGAACUGUUUGUUUUCUUGCUUCUGUAUGUAUUGUUGAGAGGUGGGAGAGCUUAUCCCAGGGUUGCACACAGUUGCUGCUUUAACUGGACCCUCCACCCUGAGCCUCUGAAGCAAGGAGAGCAUUGGGCAGGCAUCCUGCCGGUCUGUGAUGGAUUGUGUUGUUGGCAGAAGCCAGGAGCCAGCCCUCACUGGCCUUGCACAGGACGUACAUCCUUACCCACAGGUAGAGUUAGUAUUAUGAAUAGGGUCGUUUCCUUACCUAAAAUACUUCUUAAAUAUCAUGAAGCAGUUGAUUGUACGUGUGUGUGUGUGUGUGUGUGUGUGUGUGUUGGGUAUUGAGCCCAUGGCCUCAUGUACGAUAGGCAAGUGUUCUACACAGCCCUUUUUAAUUUUUUAUUUUGAGGAGGGUCUAAGUUGCUCAGGGUAACCUUGAACUUGCGAUCCUCCUGUUUCAGCCUCCUGAGUUGUUGGGAUUAUAGAUGUAUUCUGC
rnacentral:lncRNA from 1 species